rnacentral:sRNA from 1 species
CUUCAGCCUGGGAGACAGAGCAAGACCCUGUCUCAAAAAAAACAAUUAAGUCUACAUCAGUGUAUUUAUGUGAUAACUUUUGCCUAGUUAAAAUGGACAGAAACAUAAUUCAAAUCCUGAACUGUUGAACCCUACUGUUGUUUUUCAGCUGAUUUCUUUCAGCAACUAAUUGUAAUAAUACUACUUGUGUAACUAAAAAGAGAUGAUUCUAUUGUUAUUGGUGGUUUUUAUUUGUAUAGGUCCUAAUCAAACAGGAAAUUCAAAGGAAGAGUGGUUAUGCCAUUCAGGCUGAUGAAGAGCAGUUGCGAGUUCAGCUGGAUACGAUUCAGGGUGAACUAAAUGCACCUACUCAGUUCAAGGGCCGACUAAAUGAACUGAUGUCUCAAAUCAGGAUGCAGAAUCAUUUUGGAGCAGUCAGAUCUGAAGAAAGGUAUUACAUAGAUGCAGAUCUGUUACGAGAAAUCAAGCAGCAUUUGAAACAACAACAGGAAGGCCUUAGCCAUUUGAUUAGCAUCAUUAAAGAUGAU